GUUACCGAAAUCGGUAACUUUGACAGCUGGCAGUAUUGAAUCAUCGUGUUUGCGUUUUCUUGUGCUGCAGUGAACAUCAGUCAUCAAUUGCAUCAGUUUUCAGAAGAUUUCGUGUAUUAUUUCACUUCAUUCUUCAGACAAAGCUGUUUGCUUCCGAUAUCCUCUUGCGGUACGUCGUCAUCAUCACUUUUGGAGCUGGGAGAUUGUCAUCGAUGGAUCCGUCUCCACCUCCAAUCUCUGCACGCAAAUGCAGCACCAUCUUCUGCGGUUGGCCAGAUUCGCGAUUCAACACUUCAAUAUAAUUAGUUGUUAUUGCCAUUGACUUUGUACAAUAAAUUUCUUGAGCUUAGUGAA